UAGGGAAUCUUCGGCAAUGGGGGCAACCCUGACCGAGCAACGCCGCGUGAGUGAAGAAGGUUUUCGGAUCGUAAAGCUCUGUUGUAAGAGAAGAACGUGUGUGAGAGUGGAAAGUUCACACAGUGACGGUAACUUACCAGAAAGGGACGGCUAACUACGUGCCAGCAGCCGCGGUAAUACGGAGGUCCCGAGCGUUGUCCGGAUUUAUUGGGCGUAAAGCGAGCGCAGGCGGUUUAAUAAGUCUGAAGUUAAAGGCAGUGGCUUAACCAUUGUUCGCUUUGGAAACUGUUAAACUUGAGUGCAGAAGGGGAGAGUGGAAUUCCAUGUGUAGCGGUGAAAUGCGUAGAUAUAUGGAGGAACACCGGUGGCGAAAGCGGCUCUCUGGUCUGUAACUGACGCUGAGGCUCGAAAGCGUGGGGAGCAAACAGG
rnacentral:rRNA from 1 species